GGCGUGGUGGCUUAGUGGUCAUAGUCACGGACUCGCGCUUCGUCGUUCGUGGGUUCAAAAUUUGAUGCCACUCAUGAUCCG